rnacentral:rRNA from 1 species
AAAGCAGGUCAUAGUGAUCCGGUGGUUCUGAAUGGAAGGGCCAUCGCUCAACGGAUAAAAGGUACUCCGGGGAUAACAGGCUGAUACCGCCCAAGAGUUCAUAUCGACGGCGGUGUUUGGCACCUCGAUGUCGGCUCAUCACAUCCUGGGGCUGAAGUAGGUCCCAAGGGUAUGGCUGUUCGCCAUUUAAAGUGGUACGCGAGCUGGGUUUAGAACGUCGUGAGACAGUUCGGUCCCUAUCUGCCGUGGGCGCUGGAGAACUGAGGGGGGCUGCUCCUAGUACGAGAGGACCGGAGUGGACGCAUCACUGGUGUUCGGGUUGUCAUGCCAAUGGCACUGCCCGGUAGCUAAAUGCGGAAGAGAUAAGUGCUGAAAGCAUCUAAGCACGAAACUUGCCCCGAGAUGAGUUCUCCCUGACCCUUUAAGGGUCCUGAAGGAACGUUGAAGACGACGACGUUGAUAGGCCGGGUGUGUAAGCGCAGCGAUGCGUUGAGCUAACCGGUACUAAUGAACCGUGAGGCUUAACCUU